GAUGAACGCUGGCGGCGUGCUUAACACAUGCAAGUCGAACGGUGAAGCAGGAGCUUGCUCUUGUGGAUCAGUGGCGAACGGGUGAGUAACACGUGAGCAACCUGCCCCUGACUCUGGGAUAAGCGCUGGAAACGGCGUCUAAUACUGGAUAUGUGAUGUGACCGCAUGGUCUGCAUCUGGAAAGAAUUUCGGUUGGGGAUGGGCUCGCGGCCUAUCAGCUUGUUGGUGAGGUAAUGGCUCACCAAGGCGUCGACGGGUAGCCGGCCUGAGAGGGGGACCGGCAAAACUGGACUGAGACACGGCCCAGACUCCUACGGGAGGCAGCAGUGGGGAAUAUUGCACAAUGGGCGGAAGCCUGAUGCAGCAACGCCGCGUGAGGGAUGACGGCCUUCGGGUUGUAAACCUCUUUUAGCAGGGAAGAAGCGAAAGUGACGGUACCUGCAGAAAAAGCACCGGCUAACUACGUGCCAGCCGCCGCCGUAA
rnacentral:rRNA from 1 species